rnacentral:lncRNA from 1 species
AAAAUUAAAAGGGAAAAAUGGCUAUUUACGGAUUGGCCUUUAUUGCAUGUCAAUUUUAGUCCAAUUAGCACCCCAUCUCAGCCCCAAAUUAAACCCAAAUAAUCCCAGCCUAAUUAGCCAAUCCACCUGACCCCUUACCACUUAACCGAACUGUCCCUCCUCCUUUUUAAUCUGAGCCGUCGAUCAUUUUGAUCAACGGCCCAGGUGGCCCCUUCCCUUUUUUACUUCCAAACGACCCCAAACCCUAUCUCAUUUC